rnacentral:rRNA from 1 species
AUACGGAGGGGGCUAGCGUUGUUCGGAAUUACUGGGCGUAAAGAGAGUGUAGGUUGUUUAUUAAGUCGGAUGUGAAAUCCCGGGGCUCAACCUCGGAACUGCAUUCGAUACUGAUAGGCUAGAGUUUGGGAGGGGUAAGCGGAAUUCCGUGUGUAGCAGUGAAAUGCGUAGAUAUACGGAGGAACACCUGAGGCGAAGGCGGCUUACUGGACCAAUACUGACACUGAGACUCGAAAGCGUGGGUAGCAAACAGGAUUAGAAACCCUUGUAGUCC